AAUGUUGUCCUUUGUCUUCGUGGUCGGCCCUCUUUUCUUCUUCUACGUGCCACUACGAAGAAAGAGAUACAAAUCUCCACACACUUGAUGGGAUUCAUGAAAUAAAUCUGGCCAUGCUGUAAUUUCAUCUUUGUUACGUAAUAGAAUAAUUAGGAUGCACUGGUAAAAGAGAGCGAUAUCGGAAAUUGAGGCUUCCCGAGGCUUCGUCCAAUCUGGCGUAAAACGGAUAUGGGAUACUAAUUGCUCUUUGGACCUUAUAACCAUUUAAGACUUCAGAAAUCUUUGUAAAUUUAAAAUAUGAAAAAUUCUUAAGAAUAUUAUAAGAUAUUAUGGAAUAUUAUGAGAAUUUCCGUAUAAUGUUCGUCGAUAUGCUGUGACACCUGUUAACUAUCUCUACGAAAAAAUAUCUUUCAACAUUUGGAACAAAUUGGGAUCGCUGGGAUCAAAUAUGAAUACGUCACAAGCAUCAACGGAUAUAGAUUCCUCGACGAUACAAACGCGACUUAUACAAACAUCCGGCGAGUCGAAUCGGUGGCUUGUGAGGCUUAAAGGAACCUGGGAGAGGAGAAGAGUUGGGUUUUUCAGUAGGAAUACCGCGGUGGUGUAUUUCUCGCAUUGAAAAGCGGCCAACUGCGUCUCGUAAUCUCAUCACAAUCGCGACGAAGUGUCGAAGCGGGAUAAAACCUGCGAAGAGAGCUGGGGGAGAGCCAGGCCGCGGAAAAAUGGUGAAAGUUUUGUUAAAUUUCAGAGAAGCGUCUGAAUUGAUUUCCUCCUGAAAUCCUUUCUGUAUGGGAUUGUGCCAUUGUUGCGCGACAGAAGAGUGCCUCAAUAUCCUCUCCGUAUGGACGGUGGCCGCUCGGCGCGGGCGUCACGUAAUGCGACAUCACAAAAUCUGCUUACUGAUUCGCGAAUACUCGAACGCAAAGACGCCUUUCGAUCCUAAGCUUACGAAGAGACGAGGAGGAGGGAGAUACAAAAUGCAGGCAGAGAGAGAGAGAGAGAGAGAGAGAGAGAGAGAGAGAGAGAGAGUCGAGCUUUUGGAGACGCGUUAUGCAGUCACCUGCAUUUUCAUGAGCGGCGGAAGACACGUGUGAAUGUUAUGUUAAUUGCGGAAAACUGAAAUCUGCGGUACAGAAGCAACAGGAAGCUUACGGAAGGCUGAGAAUCCUUGGAAGUGGUGCUCGGCCAUGGAUUGAUGGUUCGGCAAAACGUGAAGAUGUGACGGCAGCGUGGAUGGGUGCGCGAGCUGCGUGAGAUGAAAAGUCUGGCCGGGUCCUCGCGGAAGGAAUCCGUGCAGAAAAGGCAGUCUCACACCUGUCCUUGGAGUGUGACACCUUACAAAAAUAGAAAAGUGACAAUUUAAUCCUAACAUUGACUAAAUUUAGACAAAAAUUCUUC